GCCGUAGUUCAGUGGCAGAGCAUCCGCUCUGCAUGCAGAAGAUCCUGGGUUCAAUCCUUGACAGCAUCUCCA